GAGUUCAAACCGGUGUAAGCCAGGUCGGUUUCUAUCUUUAAUAAAUUAAAAUAUUUUAGUACGAAAGGACCAAUUAUUUAAUAUAUAUAUAUUUUAAAUUUUGAUUAUUAUU
rnacentral:rRNA from 1 species